rnacentral:lncRNA from 1 species
CCUGGGUUCCAGGCUGGAGGAGGGGCUCACUGGACAACCAAGAAAGGAGCAGGGAACAAUGACCCCCUGGGGAGCUUGGGCUGAGAUCUCUCUGCCAGGCAUGUCGGUUCCUCCCAGGGAAGGAUGCUACCUAGGGGCCUUUUAUUUCCAGCUAAACUUCGUAGGCGUGACAGUGAAGCUGGAGCAGAAGUAUGUGCACUUUACCUCCACCAGCCACCAGUUCGUCCCUGUCCCCAUCGGUGAUACGCUGCCCCCACGGCAGAUUUAUGAGCUGUAUAAUGGUGGCUCGGUGCCAGUGACAUAUGAGGUCCAGACCAACAUCCUGUCAGAAGUUCAGGAAAAAAAUUUCGAUCACCCCAUCUUCCGCUGCCUCAACCCCAAAGGGGAGAUCCAGCCAGGCACCACUGCUCGGGUCUUGUGGAUCUUCUCACCCAUCGAGGCCAAGACCUACACGGUGGACGUGCCCAUCCACAUCCUGGGAUGGAACUCAGCCCUCAUCCACUUCCAGGGAGUGGGCUAUGACCCCCAUGUCAUGGGGAACACGGCCCCCUUCCACAACAUCUCUUCGUGGGACAACAGCUACAGACACUCUAGGCUGAUGGUUCCUGGACAGAAGGUCUUUCUGUCCCAGUCUCAUAUCUCCCUGGGAAACAUCCCUGUGCAGAGCAAGUGCAGCCGCCUGCUCUUCCUCAACAACAUCUCCAAGAAUGAGGCAAUUGUCUUCUCCUGGCACCCAAGGCCUCUAGACUUUGGGGAGGUAUCUGUGAGUCCCAUGGUAGGGGAGGUGGCUCCUGAAGAGAUGGUCCCAAUUAUGGUGACCCUGACAGCCUCAGUGAAUGCCAGCUUCUACAGUAUAGACCUGGUAUGCAAGGUGUACCCACAGGAACUCAUGAGGCAGUACCACAAGAAGCUGCAGGAGUGGAAGGACGAGAAGGUGCGGCAGGAAGUGGAGUUCACCAUCACAGACAGGAUAGUGAAGAAAAGAACAUGUGAUACAACCUGUGUACCUGUGAGGAAGUACAAGACACUGCCCCCCAUCAAGAAACAGCAGUCUCUCCACGAGCCUGUCAGCUGGAAACUGCAGAUCCCACAGGAGCAGCCGUUAUGGCCCUGCCCGCAGCCGCCGCCGCCAGGCAUGCUCUGCCUGGGCCUUACCGCCCGAGCCCACGCCACCGACUACUUCCUGGCCAACUUCUUCUCCGACUUUUCCAGCCACUUCUUGCACUGGGAGCUGCCAAAAAGGAAGGCCCCCAUAGAAGAGCCAGAGACUUCUGAGGAAGAGUCCCCCAACAAGUGGGGCCCUGUCUCUAAGCAGAAGAAGCAGCUGCUAGUUGAUUGUCUCACUACCAUCAUCAGGGGCCUCCUAGAGGACAAGAACUUCCAUGAGUCUGUGAACCAAAGCCUGGUGGAGCAGGUGCCAUACUUCUGCCAGUUCUGGAGUGAGCAGUCAGCCAGGUUCAUGUCCCAGAAGAACAGUCUGCAUGUAAUGCCAAUCCUGUCUUCAUCCACCAGCAGCUGGGAUGAAGAGAAAGACAAGCAGCAGGAGGAGGACACACCAGAGGAGGAGAGAUCGAGGCUGGGGAAGAAGGAGGGGGAGGAAGAGGAAGAGAAGGGUGAGGAGGAAGAAGAGGAGUUAGAGGAAGAAGAGGAGGAAGAGGAGGAGAUAGAAGAGAAGGUGGAGUUGGGCAAGAAGGAGAUAGAGCAGGAGGAGUGGGAGGAGAAGGAAGAGAAGGUGAUUUUUAUGGAGACUGAGCCCACGCUGCCGCCGGAGUCCUCAGAGUCAUCCCAGCAAUGGCAAUGGCAGCAGCAGCUGAAAGACAUGCUCAAGGAGGAGGAAGAACAGGAUGAGAAGGAGGCCAUCAGCAGGCUCCCAGCCUUCGCCAACCUGCGGGAGGCGCUGCUGGAGAACAUGAUCCAGAACAUCCUGGUGGAGGCGAGCCACGGGGAGGUGGUGCUCACCUCCCGGCCGCGCGUCAUCGCUCUGCCGCCGCUUAGCAUACCCAGGAUUCUGACCCCAGACAUGCUGCUUUCGACGCAGUGAGUGGAGGUACUUGACCCAGUGAUGCCACCUCCUACCGACCCUUUGCAGAUGAACAUGCCCAGCACCUCCGACAUGCCGCCCUAGGCUUCCCCCGGCCCCCUCUCCACUGCCCCGACAGUAAAGCAUCUAGCUUUCUUUCUGUAUCUAGCUUGACUUUAUUUCCUCGACGAGGAAGAAAACGGGAGCGCGCUCUGAGAGGGACAGAUGGUGGGGGCGGCUGGAAUGGACCGCAGCCACACGGCAGGGACUGAGGGCCGGGG